UACGAAGGGUGCAAGCGUUAAUCGGAAUUACUGGGCGUAAAGCGUGCGUAGGCGGUUCGUUAAGUCUGAUGUGAAAGCCCUGGGCUCAACCUGGGAAUGGCAUUGGAUACUGGCGGGCUAGAGUGCGGUAGAGGGGUGCGGAAUUCCCGGUGUAGCGGUGAAAUGCGUAGAGAUCGGGAGGAACAUCUGUGGCGAAGGCGGCACCCUGGACCAGCUCUGACGAUGAGGCACGAAAGAGUGGGGAGCAAACAGG
rnacentral:rRNA from 1 species